UGAGGAAUAUUGGUCAAUGGGCGAGAGCCUGAACCAGCCAAGUAGCGUGCAGGAUGACGGCCCUAUGGGUUGUAAACUGCUUUUGUAUGGGGAUAAAGUCAAUCACGUGUGAUUGUUUGCAGGUACCAUACGAAUAAGGACCGGCUAAUUCCGUGCCAGCAGCCGCGGUAAUACGGAAGGUCCGGGCGUUAUCCGGAUUUAUUGGGUUUAAAGGGAGCGUAGGCUGGAGAUUAAGUGUGUUGUGAAAUGUAGACGCUCAACGUCUGACUUGCAGCGCAUACUGGUUUCCCUGAGUACGCACAACGUUGGCGGAAUUCGUCGUGUAGCGGUGAAAUGCUUAGAUAUGACGAAGAACUCCGAUUGCGAAGGCAGCUGACGGGAGCGCAACUGACGCUGAAGCUCGAAGGUGCGGGUAUCGAACAGGAUUAGAUACCCUGGUAGUCCGCACAGUAAACGAUGGAUGCCCGCUGUUGGUACCUGGUAUCAGCGGCUAAGCGAAAGCAUUAAGCAUCCCACCUGGGGAGUACGCCGGCAACGGUG
rnacentral:rRNA from 1 species